UUGGUGAUCCCUUCACUCCUGAUUACCCAAACCCUCCAGUCAGCUUCACCAUUCCAUCUUUGGACCCCUCCUUUAGUGAUUUUGUAAAUACUAAAAACAAGAGGGAAGGUCUUGUCACCGAUUGAGAGUUCUUUUCAUUUAUUCUAUAUUGGCUACGCAAAUUCCUUUUUUGUACUUCAUCUCAGAAGAUUAUGCCUAAGUUUGUCCCUCUUGCCAAGGCUCUUGCUUCGAAGAAGAAGAUAGCCUUGGCUCCUUAUGUUCUAGGCCAUGUUUAUAGGGGCUGCUCCCAAUUUUGUGAGAAACCUUUGGAUAUUAAUUAAGGAGGCCCAUUGGGUACUCCAACUCUGGCUUUGUGCAUACUUUACUGACUUGCACUCCAGAUGUUUAAAAUUUCUAGAGCAAGACCCCACUACCUAUGGAGAGAAAUAUGCCAGAGUUUCCCUUUACCCUUCCAACUUUGCUUAUUACUUUACUUUCUUCUAUCAACUCCUUGCUUCCUCCCUUUUCACCUUCUUCUGCCCCUUCAAAGCUAACACAGGGCCAGCGUGGCUGAGAACUUUUUUGGUUGAUAAGAGAUGCUCCAGGCCUUUACACAGAUAUGUGGGCCUCCAUUCUGAUUCAAAGGGAGCUCUUUAUUGGCACAUUGAAUCCUCGAGCUUACAAGUGCAUCUCUGAAGCCUACUGCCCCUCCCAAUGUGCUAGGCAAUUUGGGCUCAUUCAGGGGAUUCCUGUCCCUCUAUGCAGCCUCUCUAAUUCAGAUCUUGCAACUAGAGAACUAAAGGUGCCCAAAACCAGGUUGAAUGAAGCAACCUUCAAACUGAUAACAGACUUGGAUGAAUUUGAAUUAUUUCCCUUCAUCCCACAAGGCAUCGCCCUAAAGAGAUAUCAAAAUUGGUGGAUAGCCAACAUGGAGGUGCACUUGGUUAUGUCCCCUAAGGAUCUGUUGAAAGGGCUAGAUGUGCCAUCAGUCAAGCCCAAGGAGACUGGCAUCACCAUUGCUUCCACCAUUGCUCCUGCUACCUCACCUAGUGCUCCUGCUGCCUCAUCUCCUCCUUUUAGAGUUACCAGGGCCAUCUCAAAGAAGGCUGCAGGGACUUCUUAGGAGGAAUCUCCCAAGAGGACUCAGGCCUUGGAUAUUCUCAAGGGCAAGCAAUAACAACAAAGAAAAAGAAAAAGAAAACUUUUGCUUGACUUUGAAGAGGAAGCACCUAAAGCUCAUUCAGAGAAGGAGGAAGAAGGAAAAGAGGAAGCGCCAUUGAAAAGAAAGAAGAAGACAUUCUCUCCUUCUGAGCUCAUCAGGAACCCCACUCAUGCCAAAGCAGUGGAGAAGGAACAGUCCAAGGAAAUUAUUAUUUUUCAGAGAUCAGAAAAGAGGAGGCAGCAACAAAUACAAAAGGAAGAAGCUGCAGCUCCUGAGGCAAGAAAGAAGCAAACUGCGAGGAGUAAAACUGUUGAUCAUUAUGCCCUUUGCAGUUCUCCCAUCAUUACCACUACAACCACUGAAGUUGCAGCAGCCAGCCUACCCCUUCCCACUUCAACAUUACCUUCUUCUACCUUGUCUGGGAAUGAGGGGCCCUUCUUGACUUCCUCAGAACUAAAGGUAACUUUAAAAGGAAAAGGGAAAGCUAAUCUUGGAGUGCCAAUGAGUGUAGAAUCCCUCCAGCUAAUACUUCCACUUUCUGGCUCUACACUCCCCAUGCCUUCUUCCCUUUUUUCCUUGAGGCCAAGCAUUCCAUCUUCCCUUUCUCCUGGCUCUUUCAACCCCUUGAACCUGCCCCUGAUCUUAAUUGCCUUACCUCUGCAGACUUCUCCCAGAGUCCUGGCUACCCCAUUAUCACCUGAGACUCUGAGAGAACUCCAGUUGUUACUUCUUCUUUAGUGGCAGCUGGUGUUUUCAAAGAUGACACUGGCAGCUCACCAAUUUCCUCUCUACCAUCCAGCUCUAGUCCCUCUUCUCUCGACUUACUGAUAGCCAGGACCAUAGAUACUGUUGGGGAAUCCUCUACUCCCUCUCCUAUCCCCAUGCUUCCAUCUCUUCCUUCAAUUAUUGAUUCCUCUGUAUUGCUAAUGUCAGAGGAAGAGGUGGACAUCUUUGAAGCCCAGCUGGUUAGCGUAUUUGAUAUAUCUCCAGCAGCUCGAGCAACAAGCAGUGAGACUGAGCCAUUGAUCCUUGCUAACUCCCUUUUGGAGAUUUUUUAGAGCUUUUCCACUGUUGCAGAAACCUCUUGGUCUCGGGUGGACUUAGGCAACUGCUUGGACUUGUUAAGAUCAUUCUCGAGGCUUCCAUUUGAAGCCCUACAAAAACCCAUCAUCAAAAAUAGUUUCCUCAAGUGUUGCAAAAUCUUUGAGCAGUCCAACAUGGCCUUCGCAAGCCAGUUAUCCAUUGACUUUUAUAUCAAUAUUUGCCAUAUGGCCAAAGCUGCAGAAGAGGAGAUAUUGAAGGACAAAGAGUUUGUUUCUCAAAUUCAUGUUGAAGUGUUUGAUUUGAAGGGACAACACUCUUGUGCUUCUCAACUUUGAACCCAACUCUUGCAGAGGAAGGCCCAGCUGAAGGAGUUAGCAGCAGUUAACCUAGCAUUGGAUCAAAAUGCUGAGAGAUUACAAACUACUAGCCAAGGCUAUCUGACAGGAGGCAGGAGAUGGCUACAGCUAUACGGUUGUUCCCAUCCCUUAGGAGUAGAGAGUCAAUUGUAAGGGAACAACAAAGACAUUGUACUAAUUUUUGGGCCAAUUUAUGGCUUCGUAUACUUAAAUCUUUGUGAAAUGAAAAUCUUUAUUGUAUAUAUUUUGCCCUUGAGUGUUCAAUGCUCCUUUAUUACACUUACUUAGCAUUUCUUACACUCCUUGUGUUUCCCACACAGUUGGAAAAUAAGGUUCCAAAUAUCUCACAUUGAUCCUCUUAGGAUGCACAUAACUAUUUAGAUUUCUCAAAUGGUAGGCUCCCCCAAGCAGGACUCUAUAAAGUUGGUAUGGCCCUUCCCAAUUAAGUUCCCAUUUGCCAAAUUUAUGGCUUUUAAUGCCCACCGGAAAUAUUGUCUUUCACACCAAAUCACCCUCAUUAAAGCUAAUUUGGUUGACUUUUUUAUUAUAGCUUUUGGUUACCUUUUUCUUUUGGAAAUGAUACUAUUCAAUGCCAAAAUUCUAGCUUCAUCCACAUUUUCUAAUUCUAAGAACAUGCUCUGAUGAUAUUGCUCAGUAGUAAACUGGUCUUGGAAUUUUACCCUCAAGGAUUUGAUGUUAAUUUCUAUAGGCAACAUUGCAUCAUGCCCAUACACUAAGGCAUAAGGGGUGAUUCCUGUACUUGAUCUUGGAAAAGUCCUAUAAGCCCAUAACACAUCUAACAAAAAAUUAUGCCAAUCCCUGGGAUUGUCUUCC